ensembl:lncRNA
AUGGCGGCGCCGCCGGCUCCUCCCAAGAUGGCGGCGGCGCUUCCCGCCCGCGGGGCGCUUCCGGCGGGGCCUGGCGCGGCCAUGGCGGAGCUGACGGACGCGGAGCUCCGCAAGGAGCUGCUGGCGCUCGGCUACCGCCCGGGGCCUAUCACCGCCACCACCCGCAAGGUCUACAUCAAGAAGCUGGGCUGUCUGCGGGCCGAAGUGGCGGCGGACCGGCGCAGCGGCCGCACCGCGCCGCCCAGCCCCGGCCGCUCCUCCGCCAGGCCGCCGCAGGCCUCGCCCUCGCGGCAGCGCUCCGGCUUCACCGGCGGGGCCGCCCGGGAGAGUGAGGAGGAGGAGGAGGAAGAGGAGGAGGAAGAGGAGGAGGAAGUGGGGCGGCCGCCCGCGUCCCGCUGGGGGGCGUCGGGAGAGAGCGGCGGGCAGGCCUGGGGAGACCCGCGGGGGUCCCCUCCGGGCCGGGCCGGAGCCAGCAGGGUUGAGGGCGGCUCCUCCCGGGACAGCCUCGGGAGGCUGAGCCCUUCGGAGCAGUGGGGCACGACUGUGGAGAGAGGUGGCGGUGGGCUGGGAACAUCCCUGGCCGGGCACGGGGGGCUCAGUUCGCCCUCGCAGUGGUACACGUCCAUAGAGAGGAGCGGCGGCCUCGGGGCGGACAGGGCCGGGGCGUCCCGCUGGGAGACAUCCAGAGAUGUGGCAGAGGGGCUGGGGGCGACCCUGGAUGGGUUUCGGGGCUCCUCGCUGCAGUCGGGUGCUUCGGAGAGGAGUGGGGGGCUCAGCAGUGGGCUGAGACCCACCCUGGACAGGUUCCGGGGGUCAAACUCCACAUCCCAGUGGAGCCCCUCGGCAGAGAGGAGCGGGGGGCUCGGCAGCCGGGCUGGCUUGGGCUUGGAUGAGGUUGGGGGGCUGAGCUCCACACCCUACUGGGGCUCCUCGGCAGCCUCCAAACCCCUUCCCAGCGAGGAGAAAUCCAGGAGCCAUUGGUGGACAUCGGCAGGGGGAAUUGGGGCGCAGAGCUCCCGGGCUGCCUGGGACACGGCCGGGGAGAGGAGGGGGCUCUCCUCCGACAGCUGGUGGAGCCGGGAGAGCGAGGUGACCCCCAGCACCCAGUGGGGCUCCUCGGCGGCCCCCGGGAGGUUCAGCAGCCUGUUCAGGAGAGGGAAGGAGGACUCGGCUUCCAGCGUAGAGCGGGACGCGGGCGGCAGGGCUGGGGGGCUGAUCCGGCGCUUCCCGUGGCGGGCGGGCAGCGAUGGGGGGCACGGAGUGACCCCGCGUGCCGCCCUGCUGCGCUCGGCGCCCCGGCAGCAGCCCGAGCGCAAGGGCAAAGGCCUGGAGUAUUACCUGUCCCAGUUCCUCUGCCUCGCCAGCUUGGUGCUGCUGCUGAUCUUUCUGGGCAUCCUCAUGGUGAAGAUGGCUGGGUCAGGCUGGUUGGACGGGAGAGAGGAGAGCUGUACGUGCAUUGGUUUAAUUCUCAUUUCAAUGUUAUUCCUCACCUGUCUGCCUGCUUUCUCUUUAUUGCUUCCAUUCCCAUCACAUUUAUCAUUCUCAUUGCCAUAA